UGAGGAAUAUUGGUCAAUGGGCGGGAGCCUGAACCAGCCAAGCCGCGUGAAGGAAGAAGGCGCCGAGCGUCGCAGACCUCUUUUGCCGGGGACAAAAGGCCGGACUCGUCCGGUCCUGAGGGUACCCGGAGAAAAAGCAUCGGCUAACUCCGUGCC
rnacentral:rRNA from 1 species